UACAGAGGUCUCAAGCGUUGUUCGGAUUCAUUGGGCGUAAAGGGUGCGUAGGCGGCUUUGUAAGUCAGUGGUGAAAUACGGUAGCUUAACUAUCGAGGUGCCAUUGAUACUGCAGAGCUUGAGUACAGAUGAGGUAGGCGGAAUUGACGGUGUAGCGGUGAAAUGCUUAGAUAUCGUCAAGAACACCUAUAGCGAAGGCAGCUUACUAGGCUGUAACUGACGCUGAGGCACGAAAGUGUGGGGAUCAAACAGG
rnacentral:rRNA from 1 species